UGAGGGCACAGGUAGGGGACUUUCAUUCAACACCCUGUGAACCUUUGGCCUAUUGCUAGCUUCGGCUGGCAGAGGAUUUUUACACACACUCGAAUGUAAUGAAAUUAUUGUCGUGCGCAAGCACUUAUGUACAACUUUCAACAACGGAUCUCUUGGCUCUCGCAUCGAUGAAGAACGCAGCGAAAUGCGAUAAGUAAUGUGAAUUGCAGAAUUCAGUGAAUCAUCGAAUCUUUGAACGCACCUUGCACCCUUUGGCAUUCCGAAGGGUAUGCUCGUUUGAGUGUCAUUGUACUCUCACACUUCUGAUCCUUUGGAUUUGGAGCGGUGGACUUGGGUGUUGCCACUUGACGGUGGCUCACCUCUAAUGCAUUAGUGCAACUCCUGGUUGGACCAUAGUACGGCGUGAUAAGUGUCUUCGCCGGCACCUCGUGAGAGGGUGGCCGAUCGAGAGCUCUGUGCUUUCAAACCGUCCUUGCAAGGACAAUGACUGACAACUUGACCUCAAAUCGAGUAGGACUACCCGCUGAACUUAAGCAUAUCAAU
rnacentral:rRNA from 1 species